rnacentral:tRNA from 1 species
GCCCAGCUAGCUCAGUUGGAAGAGCAUGGGACUCUUGAUCUCAGGAUCAUGGGUUUGUGCCCCAUGCUGGGCA